GGAUAACCGCUGAAAGCAUCUAAGCGGGAAGCCUGCUCCAAGAUUAGGAUUCCGUACGGUCUUGAACCGUUGUAGCCCGCAUGUUGAACACGUGUUUGAUAGGCCGGAGGUGGAAGCCCCGUGAGGGGUGGAGCCGACCGGUACUAACGGGCGAACGCGGCA
rnacentral:rRNA from 1 species